rnacentral:rRNA from 1 species
UACGUAGGUGACAAGCGUUGUCCGGAUUUACUGGGCGUAAAGAGCGCGCAGGCGGUCGAUCAAGUCGAGUGUGAAAGCCCCCGGCUCAACUGGGGAGGGUCAUUCGAUACUGAUCGACUCGAAGGCAGGAGAGGGUAGUGGAAUUCCCGGUGAGUGGUGAAAUGCGUAGAUAUCGGGAGGAACACCAGUGGCGAAGGCGACUACCUGCCUGGUUCUUGACGCUGAGGCGC